rnacentral:misc_RNA from 1 species
UUUGAAGAUGAACUCUCAGAUACCUUAAAACACAACGUUAGGGGUGUGGUAUCUAUGGCCAACAACGGUCCCGACUCCAAUGGUUCUCAGUUCUUUAUUACUUAUGCCAAGCAGCCACAUUUGGACUUGAAGUACACAAUAUUUGGGAAAGUAAUAGAUGGCUUUGAAACCCUUGAUGAGAUAGAGAAGCAGCCAGUGAACGAAAAGAACUACCGUCCUUUGAAUGACAUGCACUUACUGAAUGUGACAAUACAUGCAAAUCCACUGGCAUGAUGACAGAUUGCCUGAAACACUGGAUUUUGAUUUCGGGUCACCAUGAACUUUGAAUGUACUCGUGCAGACCAGCUGGUGGAUAAUUUAUUGAAAAUAAAAGUAAUGACAGUAACAGAAAUGCCAAAUGGGACCACAACUCUAAGCAGACAGUGUUAUUUGAAUGGCUAUUCGUGGAAAUAAAUAUCAUUCAAGCUGCAUGAUAUAUGCAUGUGUACAUGUAUUAUAAAUGGCUAUUGGCAGAAAUUAGUUAGUAAUACUGUAAUAGUACAUGUAUAACUUGUGCAUUGUACUUAUGUACACAUGAUUUUGUGAUCUAUCAUUAAGUAUCAACUUUGAAUGUUUUAAAUGAAUGUAUGUAUUUAGCAUUACCGGUACAUUAAAAAUACAUGUAUGUAAACA